ensembl:lncRNA
AUGAAAUUUUCAAACUCAAAUGCAUGGUUUUAUUGUUUACUGUGCACACUUUUUUUCUUGCUCCCUAGUUAUUUUGUAAGACACGAAGUGGCCCAGACAUGCAAACCUUCGAGACAGCGCUCAGCACUCAAUCGGUCCUUUGAGCCCCGAAGAGAAACAGGAGCCUCGGACCGUAUGAUGCAACAGUGUGAAACGGCACAAGCUGAGCACAGACUGAAACUGGAUCCAUCAGGGUGUCUGUCUGCAUCUUCGCCUGUCUGUCUGAUUUCCACAUUCAGAUAAAAGAGUUCGCAAAUGGCACAUGCUUAAACUCCAGCCUACACUCUAAAAAAUGCUGGGCUGUUUCAACCAAACUUUGGGUCAAAUAUGGACUAAACCAACUGUUAGGUUGAUUUUUUUAAUUAAAUUUUUAACCCAAAACUUGGGUUAGUCUAUUUUUGACCCAAAGUUGGAUUGAAACAACCCAGCAUUUUUUAGAGUGUAGCAGAUGAAAAACAGGACUUGCCUUUUACUUUUUCACAACAUCACCUUCAAAGACUUGUUCAAUGUUAAAAUACAUUAUUGUACACCCAAAGCUGGGCACUGAUUACAUGCAAUCUGGAUUAUGUAAUCAAAUUAAAAAAAUUAAGAACUUGUAAUUAGGUUAUAUAAUGUCAAAAAUCUCUCUCUCUCUCUCUCUCUCUCUCUCUCUCUCACUCUCUCUCUCUCGCUGUAAUGUAGGUUUAAUGCAUUUCAUGAUGUUGAUAACAAAGAAUGUUUGUUGUUAUUGUUUCAUUAAUAUGGAACACACUAAUUUUCAUUCAAGUCUGUGAUAACGAUUUGCAGUAUGCCAAAAGUAAUCUAAAACUAGUCGAAAAUAGUCAGACUACAUUAACUAAUAUUUGUAAUCCAUGUUAUGUCCCUUAUUGCAAUUUUCAUCAUGUAAUUUGUAAUCAGUAAUGGGCUAAGAUUAUUAUUUAUGUGGCCCUCUACAAUACUUGAUUCUGAUUGGUCAGUCAUGACCAAUUUCAAGCCGUCCGAAAAAGCAACACUUGCUCAAAGAUUGGUGUCUUAUGUUUCUAACUCUGUUUGAUGGGGCAAAAAUGACACCCUUCAACUUUAAACUCAUUAUAAAGGACUAUGCAGGUCCUAGCAUACAUAUGCAGGUAAAGUGGUCAUGAUUAAUGUGCAUUGUAACAGAAGUUGUGUGUAGAAUACAGUCGUGCAGAGUUCUUCUGCAUCGGAUGAAAGCAUUUACCCUUUUAUAGGUUGUAAUAUACAGUUUCUGGCAUUUUUGGUGUCCGUCCCUCUGGAUUAUUUCCUCGUUAUAAAUUACCUCGAUGAGGUCUUUGAUUCCAGGAAACGAGUGUGCAGCUGGCAUACAGGCCUGAGAUUUACAUUUAUUGUUCCUGUUUUGCUUUUUUCCCUAAGCCUCUUAAAUGAUACUGCAGGCCUCUGUGUAGCAAGUGCUGCUUUAUGUCUCUAGACACCAAUAAUGUGCAGAAAAAUAAAAAUUCUGUCUGAUUCA